AAAUUGAAGAGUUUGAUCAUGGCUCAGAUUGAACGCUGGCGGCAGGCCUAACACAUGCAAGUCGAACGGUAACAGGAAGCAGCUUGCUGCUUCGCUGACGAGUGGCGG
rnacentral:rRNA from 7 species